UACGAAGGGGGCUAGCGUUGUUCGGAAUCACUGGGCGUAAAGCGCACGUAGGCGGAUCUUUAAGUCAGAGGUGAAAUCCCAAGGCUCAACCUUGGAACUGCCUUUGAUACUGGGGAUCUUGAGUCCGGGAGAGGUGAGUGGAACUGCGAGUGUAGAGGUGAAAUUCGUAGAUAGUCGCAAGAACACCAGUGGCGAAGGCGGCUCACUGGCCCGGUACUGACGCUGAGGUGCGAAAGGCGUGGGGAGCAAACACGG
rnacentral:rRNA from 1 species